rnacentral:rRNA from 1 species
UCCCUAUGGGGUGCAGCAGGCGCGAAAUCUUUGCAAUAGGCGAAAGCCUGACAAGGUUACUCUGAGUGAUUUCCGAUAAGGAGAUCUUUUGACACCUCUAAAAAUGGUGUAGAAUAAGGGGUGGGCAAGCCUGGUGUCAGCCGCCGCGGUAAUACCAGCACCCCGAGUGGUCGGGACGAUUAUUGGGCCUAAAGCAUCCGUAGCCGGUCCUGCCAGUCCUCCGUUAAAUCCACCCGCUCAACGGUUGGGCCGCGGGGGAUACUACAGGGCUAGGAGGCGGGAGAGGCAAGCGGUACUCGAUGGGUAGGGGUAAAAUCCACUGAUCCAUUGAAGACCACCAGUGGCGAAGGCGGCUUGCCAGCACGCGCUCGACGGUGAGGGAUGAAAGCUGGGGGAGCAAACCGGAUUAGAUACCCGGGUAGUCCCAGCUGUAAACGAUGCAGGCUAGGUGUUUGGGCGGCCACGAGCCGCCCUAGUGCCGCAGGGAAGCUGUUAAGCCUGCCGCCUGGGGAGUACGGCCGCAAGGCUGAAACUUAAAGGAAUUGGCGGGGGAGCACCACAAGGCGUGAAGCUUGCGGUUCAAUUGGAUUCAAAGCCGGAA